rnacentral:rRNA from 1 species
AUGGGGGAAACCCUGAUGCAGCAACGCCGCGUGAGGUAUGAAGGCCUUUGGGUGUGUGAAGCCUCUGUCCUAGGGGAAGAAAAAAAUGACGGUACCCGAGAGAAGCCCCGGCUAACUACGUGCCAGCAGCCGCGGUAAUACGUAGGGGGCAAGCGUUAUCCGGAAUUAUUGGGCGUAAAGAGUGCGUAGGUGGUCUACUAAGCGCGAGGUGAAAGGCAAUGGCUCAACCAUUGUUAGCCUUGUGAACUGGCAGACUUGAGUGCAAGAGAGGAAAGCGGAAUUCCUAGUGUAGCGGUGAAAUGCGCAGAUAUUAGGAGGAACACCGGCGGCGAAGGCGGCUUUCGGGAUUGUAACUGACACUGAGGCACGAAAGCGUGGGUAGCAAACAGGAUUAGAUACCUGGUAGUCCACGCCGUAAACGAUGAGCACUAGGUGUCGGGACAUGAGUCUCGGUGCCGCAGUUAACGCAAUAAGUGCUCCGCCUGGGGAGUACGCACGCCAGUGUAAAACUCAAAGGAAUUGACGGGGACCCGCACAAGCAGCGGAGCAUGUGGUUUAAUUCGAAGCACGCGA